GCUUUUGUCGAAAUUAGGAUUCCGAAACACGUUUUUCUACGGUGGGUUCAUUCGACAGCGAUUUACUUUCUUAGAAGUUGCGAGACGGUAUGUUUUUGAUUGCAAUUAUUGGAAGAGGACAGAUCCAUCUUUAAAAUGAUAUCAGGUUCGGAAAAAUUGAUACGUUGAAAAGGCAAGAAAAAUGCUGUGAAAGUUGUCAGUUUUAUAAUGGGACCCUAUGGGAAUCGGAAUUAGUGUAAUAUAACCUUAAAAAAGCACAUUUACUGCAAUGUCAAGGUCACAUGGAUUCGUCUGCAAGCGAGACAAGUAGAACAUGAAUUUUAAUGAAUGUUUUGAUGAUUUGGGUGCUAAAAUAGAUGAGAGAUGUCAAUAUUUUGGUUCAAAAGGAUGUUUUAGGUGGUUUUGGACUGUUCCGGAUGGGAGGGGGACCUGGUAUGAACAAGUGAGGGUUACAUUUCCAACAAAUCUUGAAUGUAAAUAUUAUUAUGUCCAAAGAUUGAAGUUUCAGGUGGAGAGCAAGAUGAAAAAUAUGCCAAAUCACAUGAAUGCAACCCAUUUAUGCCAUUUUCCUCUUUGUUUGUAGGCCUGACCAUUUGUCCCUUGAGCCGCAGACGGUCAACAAUCCGCUAGCUGUCUUGCUCUGACUGGUGCACUGGACAUGAUUUCAAUGAGAGUCAUCAUACUGAUUGUUUAAUUCAAACAUGAAUUUCAGUUUGUUCGUUAAAGUACUAACGUAGCGGUGUAUUUACAGUGGACGUAGUCCUGCGUCGCAUGAGGUAGACUAGGUAUUUCCAUAUAUACACUAUGUUUACAGAAUUGCGGCCGGUGGAGCGACAUAGCUGAUGAGUUAAUAGCGCUAGUUCUUCAGACAAAUAACUUUAUUUUCAACCUAUAAAGCAUAUUUAGCUGUAGGUGGGGCCAUUUAGCUGUAAGAUCUGGCUUUGGUUCUGUUAAGCCCUUAGAGUAAUGAAUUUCAGAGUGAAGACCAUAGCGCCUUUUCCUAGUCAAGUAUCGGGCAGCUGUAUCCCGGUGUGACCCAAAUUCGACGAUGUAACAGUUACAUGAAGCAAUAUAUAGCAAAUAAUGAAAGAAAUAAUGAAAUGUUUAAUAGCACAAAAUAAUAUUUUAAACUCGGCUGUAUUACUUUGAAAUGAUUCCAAGACAAUAAUCAUCCAUUUAAUCAAUACAAAUAGAACAUCGUCGAAUUUAGGUGUCGUCGAAUUUGGGUUGCGGUAGGAUAUGUCUUUUCAGAAAUGCACAUGUCUUCUUUAGCAUGUCAUUGUGAUUGCUUUUAAUAAGAUAGGCAAUAAACUCAUAAACUUUAGAAAAAGGAGCAUCUGUAAAUUCAGAUUUCACUAUUUCAGAGUCAGCCAGACCAUGAUUGAGCUUAAGGAUUGUGCUGCGGAUGUGGCCUGUGCAGUUCCGGGAGAAAGUCACUGUCUUGGGCAUUGCGGUCUGGUAUCAGGUCUGGAUGAUCCUUGCCUGACUCCGGGUUUGUGUACACCUCAAUCCGACUCCCUGUCCGGUACCGAGGAUGCAGUGGUGCAGCGCUUGUGGACGAUCCAUCAACAUCCUGAAAGGUCAACACUUCACCAAGCUGGGAAAAUUGACCCUGAUAGUCAUCCCAGGUAGUGGAAUGAAUGUACACUGAACUACAGAGGAAUCACACCCAAAUGACUUUCCCGACAUUAGUGUGGCCCGCGGCGUAGGAAUUCCUUCGCAAACAUGCUUUUUUGCAUGGGGACUGUGGCAUUUUUGCAAAACUUAAGCUUUCAACACUGGAUUUUAAAGAGAACACUUAAUAAAAUGAAGCUAACAGGACUUAUUUUUAUGAGAGAGACUAUCUGAAUGAGCAACAAAUGUCACAUUGUGUCGUAAGCUGUUGAAGGAGCGAUUUGCGCCAUUUUAAGUGUUAAUUUUGGGUAGCUGGCUUGUAUCGGCUUGAAAGCUGCAAAUUAUUACUCUCAUCAUAAUAGCAUUAAUUAUUUUGAUUGCAAUGUGUAUGUUUAGAUUGUAAGUGAAGCUUUUAAUAAUAAUUUUCUUGAAAAACAUUAUUUUAUAUGCUGUCAGUGAGUUUUUUUUUGGAAAAAAGUGCUUAAAUUUUUUAAAAAGUCUCCUUUUUCAUCAAGAAAAGUACACUGAUUCACAAUCAAUACAUUUAAUUGGGCCUUUUGCUGAUAUAUUGGUGAAUUUUGCAUGCAAUGAUACCAGUUUUUGCCAUAAAAGUUACGCGUAACAAUAAUUGGAGACACAAAAUCAGCUGUCGUAGCUUAGACUAAAAAUCAUGCAUUCCGACUUGACUGCGGCCAAUUUAGUCACCGCUUUAAAUGGCCAUUUUAAGGCCCUUACCCCCAUCCGCAUGCACUGAAAUUGCAUAUUCAUGGUGGAAAUAGUUCAAAUCUCAUGUGGAGAAAGUUUGAAAAAGAUAGGACAAAGUUGAGUUCCCUUAAAGGUUACAUUACACUAAAUCAUUGUGUAUCCCUCCGUGGUCCAUUCGAAAGUAGUGCCUAUUUCUAAAGAGUUCCUUUUCUCUUCUUGAAUAUAAGCCAUUUAACAAUGUGAGACAUGUCUUUUGUGGUUAUUUGUAAUAUCCUGUAUGUGUCUGGAGUUCUUUGAUGCCUUGGAUUGGAAGCUAACUUAAAAGAUGAACUUUUGAGGGCCUGACCGUUUGUCCUUGAGCCGUAGAUGGUCAACAAUCUGCUAGCUGUCUUGCUCUGACUGGUGCACUGGACAUGAUUUCAAUAGUCAGCCAGACCAUGAUUGAGCUUAAGGAUUGUGCUGCGGAUGCAGCCUGUGCAGUUCCGGGAGAAAGUCACUGUCUCGGGCAAUGCGGUCUGGUAUCAGGUCUGGAUGAUCCUUGCCUGACUGCGGGUUUGUGUGCACCUCAAUCCGACUCUGUGUCCUGAACAGAGGCCGCAGUGGUGCAGCGCUUGUGGACGAUCCAUCAACAUCCUGAAAGGUCAACACUACACCAAGCUGGGAAAAUUGAUCCUGAUAGUCAUCCCCAGGCCUGACCGUUUGUCCUUGAGCCGUAGAUGGUCAACAAUCUGCUAGCUGUCUUGCUCUGACUGGUGCACUGGACAUGAUUUCAAUAGUCAGCCAGACCAUGAUUGAGCUUAAGGAUUGUGCUGCGGAUGCAGCCUGUGCAGUUCCGGGAGAAAGUCACUGUCUCGGGCAAUGCGGUCUGGUAUCAGGUCUGGAUGAUCCUUGCCUGACUGCGGGUUUGUGUGCACCUCAAUCCGACUCUGUGUCCUGAACAGAGGCCGCAGUGGUGCAGCGCUUGUGGACGAUCCAUCAACAUCCUGAAAGGUCAACACUACACCAAGCUGGGAAAAUUGAUCCUGAUAGUCAUCCCCAGGUAGUGGAAUGAAUGUUCACUGAACUACAGAGGAAUCACACCCAAAUGACUUUCCUGCCACGACAUUAGUGUGGCCACUCGCGUAGGAAUUCCUUAGCAAACAUGCUCUUUUGCAUGGUGACUGUGGACAUUUUUGCAAAACUUACGCUUUCAACACUGGAUUUUAAAGAGAAUACUUAAUAAAAUGUCGCUAACAGGACUUAUUUAUAUGAGAGAGACUAUCUGGAUGCGCAUUAAGUGUCACUUUGUGUCGUAAGCUGUUGAAGGAGCGAUUUGCGCCUUUUUUCAGUGUUAAAUUUGGGUAGCUGGCUUGUAUCAGCUUGAAAGCUGAAAAUUAUGCCUCUCAUCAUAAUAGCAUUAAUUUUUGUAAUUGCAAUGUGUAUGUUUAGAUUGUAAGUGAAGCUUUUAAUAAUAAUUUUCUUAAUAAACAUGAUUUUAUAUGCUGUAAGUGAGUUUUUUAUUGAAAAAAGUGCUUAAAAUUUUAAAAAAGUCUCCUAUUUCAUCAAGAAAAGUACACUGAUUCACAAUCAAUACAUUUAUUUGGGCCUUUUGCUGAUAUAUUGGUGAAUUUCGCAUGCAAUGAUACCAGUUUUUGCCAUGAAAGUUACGCGUAACAAUAAUUGGAGACGCAAAAUCAGCUGUCGUCACUUAGACUAAAAAUCAUGCAUUCCGACUUUACUGCGGCCAAUUUAGUCACCGCUUUAAAUGGCCAUUUUAAGGCCUUUACCCCCAUCCGAAUGCACUGAAAUUGCAUAUUCAUUGUGGAAAUAGUUGAAAUCUCAUGUGGAGAAAGUUUGAAAAAGAUAGGACAAAGUUGAGUUCCCUUAAAGGUUACAUUACACUAAAUCAUUGUGUAUCCCUCCGUGGUCCAUUCGAAAGUAGUGCCUAUUUCUAAAGAGUUCCUUUUCUCUUCUUGAAUAUAAGCCAUUUAACAAUGUGAGACAUGACUUUUGUGGUUAUUUGUAAUAUCCUGUAUGUGUCUGGAGUACUUUGAUGCCUUGGAUUGGAUGCUAACUUAAAAGAUGAACUUUUGAGGGUGUGUUUUCUAUUGUGUGGGGCUUUUGUCGAAAUUAGGAUUCCGAAACACGUUUUUCUACGGUGGGUUCAUUCGACAG